UCACUGAUUACCAUCCAACUGUCCGGCUAAGUCACGGAACAGAUGCCUGACUCCCGCCGACUCGGAAAAAGCAGGGAUGUUCGGCAAGUUCUGCACGUUCAAAAGAAGUUUACUGAUUGCAGGAGGGUGACCUUUCUGCCCCUGCUGGAAAGGCUCUCCUGCUGGGGCGUGCUGAGAAACCAGCUUCGUGUCUUCCGCUGCAAGGGCUCUCAUCCACCAACGACCCAGAGGCGCCAAGGUUGUCAUGGGCCAGAUGAAGCAUCCCAAGGACAUUCACUGCAGCACCUGCCUGCGUGCAGGUGUGCUCCGGAGACUGCGGCUUUGGCUCCAGACCAUCUCGAUAAAGCAGUAUCAUAGUAAAGCAAGUCACACACAUAUUUUUGGUUUCCUAGUGCAUGUAAAAGUUAUGUUUAUACUCUACUGUAGUGUAUUAGGUAUGCUAUAGCAUUAUGUCAAAAAAUGUACAUACCUUAAUUUUAAAAUACUUUAUUGCUAAAAUAGGCAAACCAUCAUCUAAGCCUUCAGCGAGUUCUAAUCUUUUUGCUGGUGGGAGGGGCUUAUUUUCAAUUUGUAAAAAAAAAAAAAAUGUAAUAUCUGUAAGGUGCAAUCAAGCAAAGAGCAAUAAAA